rnacentral:misc_RNA from 1 species
GAAAUGCGAUAAGUAAUGUGAAUUGCAGAAUUCAGUGAAUCAUCGAAUCUUUGAACGCACCUUGCGCUCCUUGGUAUUCCUUGGAGCAUGCCUGUUUGAGUAUCAUGAAAUCUUCAAAGUAAAUCUUUUGUUAACUCAAUUGGUUUCUACUUUGGUAUUGGAGGUCUUUGCAGCUUCACACCUGCUCCUCUUUGUUCAUUAGCUGGAUCUCAGUGUUAUGCUUGGUUCCACUCGGCGUGAUAAGUUAUCUAUCGCUGAGGACACUGUAAAAGGUGGCCAAGGUAAAUGCAGAUGAACCUCUUCUAAUAGUCCAUUGACUUGGACAAUACUUUUAUGAUCUGAUCUAAAAUCAGGUAGGACUACCCGCUGAACUUAAGC